CAGAGGCCAAAGGUUGGCUCAUCCCUGCGCAGCACAGCACGGCCUUCCCUGCAGACCAGGGUUGGGGGAGGGCAGGGAACUGGCACCAGGCCUCAUCAUGGCUCCCUCAGCAGAUGCUGGUCUCCUUCUGUGACAGGAUAUUUGAGUCUUUCUCUCCCUAUCAAGGACAAAGGGGACAGACAUGAACUCAGAAAGACAAAGGCAGCCCCGGCAGGCACUAGUGGGGUGCAAACGCUGCCUGUCCAGCCACCCCCAACCCACGCAGCACCAGGACGAAACCCUGCUGUGGCCAGGGCUCUGGGCCUUUCCAGGCAGGGGGGUGUGAACUGCCCUGCGCUACGCCCAAGUGCAGCCACAUCCUGGGGUCCUGAGGGUCACAGGGUCGCAGCUUCAACAUGGGGACUUGUGGGGACAGUUUGGCCAGUACUGAUUGAAAGAGAAAAUCCCGAGACGCUGCCCCAGCACACCGUCUCCUCCAGCCUCCAGACUACGGCAUAUUGCAAGCCUGCGCCCUGCCCUGCCGCCUGCAGCUGGCACUCCUCAGCAUCAUGGGGAAGCAGGUGUGACCCCCCAGGCUGCAGGCUCCCCUGCUUCCAGUCUUUCCUUCGAAGGAGCCCACAGCCUCUCAGCGCCCAGGAGGCCUCAGCUCUUCGGGCACGUGGCCGGUGCAGGGUGGGAGCCCUGGCCUCCUGGAACAGCUCCUCACAGGCGCCUGCUCUGGAUGCUCUCAUGUCGGGAGCCCCCCAGAUGGUGCCAGGAGGGAAGCAGAAGCUGCUGUCUCUCUUCAAGUGCUGGGUCAUCUGGAGCAAGAAGAGGACUCCAGGUUGCCUCGCCCUCCAUGUUCCUGGAGAAGGCAGCAUGUGGGUGGAGUAUGUCUUCCCAACACUGCCUGAGUGGACGCCAUCUCCAGCCGGACUCCUCCGGCCCUUGGCAGUGUGGACCCACACGUUUCCUGAGGGCAUCAUGGGGCCAGACUGUCACCUGAGGCACCACAGUUGAGUAGCACUGUCAGAGCAGCACCGCCCGUCACCAGAGAUGUCACCUGUCACCAGGGCAGUGCCACCUGUCAGAGCAGUGCCACCCAUCACCAGAGGCGUCACCUGUCACCAGAGGCAUUACCUGUCAUUAUGGUGAUAACACCUGCCAGAGCAGUGCACCCAUAACCAGCCAUGUCACCUGUCACCAGAGCAGUGCCACCCAUCAUGAGAUGUCACCUGUCACCAGCCAUGUCACCUGUCAUCAGGGUGGUGCCACCUGCCAGAGCAGUGCCACCCGUCACCAGAGAUGUCAUCUGUCAACAGCGAUGCCACUUGGCAUCAGCAAUGUCAUUCUGCUCCCCAGACACCACCCUCCUCCCUGUAUCCCCCAACACCCCCAAUACCCACAUGUGCAAUUCCCAGUAGGCACUACUGGAAAACCAAGCCAGUCCUCAGAAAGAAUAAAACAUCUGUUUUAAUUGUCCAGUAAAAUACAUUUCAAAUCAUUAGUAUUUUAUAAACAGAAACAUUAAGUUAUAAAUCCAUGUUAAAAAUUGCAGCUCAGUGCAGCCCCAACAGCUGUGUGUCCAAAGUCUAUUUUUUUUAACAUUUUCCUCCACUAUUUUUGUGACAACAAAUAAAGUCUCUAUUCACCAUCUAGAUUAAGAGUCUGAACUACAGUAUUUUCACAGAAGAACAGGGAGAAGGUACAAGGACACACGGUGCUGUGUAUGUAAACGUGCCUCCCACACACCUGCCAUCUGCAUUCCAGGAAGACGCCUUUCGGAAAGGCCUCCUCGGCAGUGUGAGGUCUGGAGGGGUCUGCCUGGGCCCUGUUUUUAGGAGGCUCCCCUCCCAAUAAAAAAGCAGCCCCAGUACCUGCCCCGCACAGCAUCUGGGGGUUUGUAACACAGGUGCAACACUGGCCGUGGGCCCUGGAGGAACAUCUGCACCCCCGUAGCCCCUGUACCUGAAACUGAAUUUCUUCCCUUCUCUGAUUUUCUGGAGAACCUGCAGCUGCCCUUCCUGAGACAGGCUCCAUUCCCUUGCCUUUGUGCUCUGCAGCUUCUCUUUAGUGGGGAUAGGUUUUGACGUUCUGAGUUACUUUGUAUCAAAGAGCUAAUUAAAAAUGGUCCUUUAAAAACAUUAAGAAAAACAGCUCAAAAAAUGCACACUUCUAGUUUAAAAAUCUUCCCCAAACUUCCACAGGGGGUGGCAAAUGUUAA